rnacentral:lncRNA from 1 species
UGGAGUAGGACUAGGUAGGUCUGGAAGACUCAUGUUUCCUUUCUGUUCAAAUGAAUCACUUGACUUUGUAGCUGAAGCAAAUCUAGAUCCAGAAUCCAGGUUAAUUGUAUAUCUAUUACUGGUAAAGGAUCCCAGGUUCUGCACCCUUUGUAGCUGAAGCAAGUCUAGAUCCAGAAUCCAUGUUAAUUGUAUAUCUAUUACUGGUAAAGGAUCCCAGGUUCUGCACCAAAGAUGAGCCUAAAUUCCGGCUGUUGGACUGUGUAUUAUGACCACAGCCAUCAUUUAUCUGGCACAUUGCGCUUCCACGUGAAUUCUGACUUCCAUGAUCUGUAGCAGGACGACAAUUAUCAUUUGCAUUUCCUCUUUC